rnacentral:piRNA from 1 species
UCUUAUGUUUGCAACUUUGUGAAGCCUGGA